rnacentral:rRNA from 1 species
AGUGAACGCUGGCGGUAGGCCUAACACAUGCAAGUCGAACGGCAGCACAGUAAGAGCUUGCUCUUACGGGUGGCGAGUGGCGGACGGGUGAGGAAUACAUCGGAAUCUACUUUUUCGUGGGGGAUAACGUAGGGAAACUUACGCUAAUACCGCAUACGACCUACGGGUGAAAGCAGGGGAUCUUCGGACCUUGCGCGAUUGAAUGAGCCGAUGUCGGAUUAGCUAGUUGGCGGGGUAAAGGCCCACCAAGGCGACGAUCCGUAGCUGGUCCGAGAGGAUGAUCAGCCACACUGGAACUGAGACACGGUCCAGACUCCUACGGGGGGCAGCAGUGGGGAAUAUUGGACAAAGGGCGCAAGCCUGAUCCAGCCAUACCGCGUGGGUGAAGAAGGCCUUCGGGUUGUAAAGCCCUUUUGUUGGGAAAGAAAAGCAGCAGGUUAAUACCCCGCUGUUCUGACGGUACCCAAAGAAUAAGCACCGGCUAACUUCGUG